GAACUUGGUGUGGUUGUUGCUGGCCCUUUCGGGGGCAUGUGCACACCCAUCAUCAUCAUCUCUCCACCUGUGCACCUCUUGUAGACUUGGAUUGACUUUCCGAGGCAACUCGGUCGGGAGGACUUGCUGGCAUUAGCUGGCUUUCCUUGCAUUUCCAAGUCUAUGUUUUUCAUAUACCCCAUUGAAUGUAAUAGAAUGUAACAUAUUGGGCCUUUGUGCCUAUAAAAACUUAUACAACUUUCAGCAACGGAUCUCUUGGCUCUCGCAUCGAUGAAGAACGCAGCGAAAUGCGAUAAGUAAUGUGAAUUGCAGAAUUCAGUGAAUCAUCGAAUCUUUGAACGCACCUUGCGCUCCUUGGUAUUCCGAGGAGCAUGCCUGUUUGAGUGUCAUUAAAGUCUCAACUAUUAUCAGCUUUUGCUGAUAAUGGCUUGGAUAUGGGGGUUUAUUUUGCUGGCUUCACAGAUUGUCAGCUCCCCUUAAAUGCAUUAGCCGGUGCCCCGCGUGGACUGUCUAUUGGUGUGAUAAUUAUCUACGCCGAAGACAUCUACAAUCAUAUGGGUUUGCUUCUGCUUCCAA
rnacentral:rRNA from 1 species